GGAGUUAGGAAAUGUAAGUGCGCUAAUAUCGCAUUUAUUUGACGAAGGCUCCAAAGGAAGUCACGGCUAACUCUGUGCCAGCAGCCGCGGUAAUACAGAGGUGGCAAGCGUUGUUCGGAAUUAUUGGGCGUAAAGAGCACGUAGGUGGGUUUGUAAGUCAGAUGUGAAAGCCUUCUGUUCAACGGAAGAAUUGCAUCUGAAACUGCGAGUCUUGAGCGUAGGAGGGGAGAGUGGAACUUCUG
rnacentral:rRNA from 1 species